rnacentral:rRNA from 1 species
UACGGGGGGGGCAAGCGUUGUUCGGAAUUACUGGGCGUAAAGGGCUCGUAGGCGGCCAACUAAGUCGGACGUGAAAUUCCCAGGCUCAACCUGGGAACUGCGUCCGAUACUGGAUGGCUUGAAUCCGGGAGAGGGAUGCAGAAUUCCAGGUGUAGCGGUGAAAUGCGUAGAUAUCUGGAGGAAUACCGGUGGCGAAGGCGGCAUCCUGGACCGACACUGACGCUGAGACGCGAAAGCGUGGGGAGCAAACAGG